rnacentral:rRNA from 1 species
GCUUACGGCCAUAUCCCGUUGAAUGUACAGGUCCUCGUCCGAUCACUGAAAUUAAGCAAGGUUGAGCCUAGUUAGCACUUAGAUGUGUGACUGCUUGGGAAACCUAGGUGCUAUAUGCA